GGAGAAGKGGGAAACGAUGUGGGAAGGCUUAGACAGCUAGGAGGUUGGCUUAGAAGCAGCCACCCUUUAAAGAAAGCGUAAUAGCUCACUAGUCGAGUCGGCCUGCGCGGAAGAUGUAACGGGGCUCAAACCAUGCACCGAAGCUACGGGUAUCACCUUAUGGUGAUGCGGUAGAGGAGCGUUCUGUAAGCCUGUGAAGGUGAGUUGAGAAGCUUGCUGGAGGUAUCAGAAGUGCGAAUGCUGACAUGAGUAACGACAAUGCGAGUGAAAAACUCGCACGCCGAAAGACCAAGGUUUCCUGCGCAACGUUAAUCGACGCAGGGUUAGUCGGUCCCUAAGGCGAGGCUGAAAAGCGUAGUCGAUGGAAAACAGGUUAAUAUUCCUGUACUUCCAGUUAUUGCGAUGGANGGACGGANAAGGUUANGCCNCCUGGCGUUGGUUGUCCAGGUUUANGGWGRWRGGGUAAAGCNUSUUUNGYAACUCCGGGAUUUSAAGGGSUAAAGCACUGUUUMGUAACCUUCGGNGASAAGGGGUAAAGCACUGWUUCGUWRCUUCGGGAGAAGGGSUAAAGCACUGUUUCGNUAACUUCGGGRGAARGGGUAAAGCACUGWUUCGUAACUUCGGGAGANARGGG
rnacentral:rRNA from 1 species